GGCCUCGGUGGUGCGUUGGCAGCACGCGCCCUCUGUAUGGGUUAAACGCGGGUUUAACUCCCGCCUAGGUCA